AGUGAACGCUGGCGGUAGGCCUAACACAUGCAAGUCGAACGGCAGCACAGUAAGAGCUUGCUCUUACGGGUGGCGAGUGGCGGACGGGUGAGGAAUACAUCGGAAUCUACUUUUUCGUGGGGGAUAACGUAGGGAAACUUACGCUAAUACCGCAUACGACCUACGGGUGAAAGCAGGGGAUCUUCUGACCUUGCGCUAUUGAAUGAGCCGAUGUCGGAUUAGCUAGUUGGCGGGGUAAAGGCCCACCAAGGCGACGAUCCGUAGCUGGUCUGAGAGGAUGAUAAGCGACACUGGAACUGAGACACGGUCCAGACUACUACGGGAGGCAGCAGUGGGGAAUAUUAGACAAUGGGCGCAAGCCUGAUACAGCCAUACCGCGUGGGUGAAGAAGGCCUUCGGGUUGUAAAGCCCUUUUGUUGGGAAAGAAAAGCAGCAGGUUAAUAACAAGCUGUUCUGACGGUACCCAAAGAAUAAGCACCGGCUAACUUCGUG
rnacentral:rRNA from 1 species